UGUCAUCUGUUUUGACGUCGCAAAAUGAAUGGUAAUGAAGGCAUAUGGGCAAAUGUGGGCGUUAGCUUUUGGGAAACUUUGUUGUCGCCGCUGCCGCCCCUCUCGUAGAUCCUCCAUCCUCUCCACCGAAUCCCCCCCUCUCUCUCUCCAUCCUUCGAGGAAAGAAGGCCUUUGUUUGACAGUCCCCGACAAACCGACCCCCUGUCGUGCCGAUCCGCAAACCGCAGGCGCAUUCUGGGUGGCCGCACACACACACACACGGAUGAGCGACCGACAACCAAGAAACGUCAGUUUAUUUCCAGCAUUAGAUUUGUCAGUGUAUUAGAAUGUAACUGUAGAAAUAUAGACAUUAAAAACUAAUUAAAAAUUUUGUUUUGUCUAAUUAUGUGUGUGUAGACACGAAGAGGAAGAGAGCUAAGUCAAUUCAGACUAUUUUUCUAUCCAAUUGGUUCAAGCUCUCAGUCAUGUGAACAUGAUGCUAAUUCAAAUGAUGUGAAGAUAAUUGUUAACUUCCUAUUUCAACCCACACUUUAUUUUCAUGUGUACCUUAAAAAUGAUAGAGCCAGAAACUAGAGCAAUUUAAAAAAUCAGAAAAAAUAUGAUUGUCAAAUUUGGGUUUGUAGGCAUGAAGAGGAAGUGUUUCACUAAGAACAUUUAUUAGCCAAUUGAAACUUGUAACCAAUUCUGAAUAAAUUAUCUGGUCAUGAUUUUCAUUUAGAUUAAUAGAUAUGGAAACUUGAUUCAAAGCUAUCAACUGAAAAUCAGCCACCGAUGCCUAAAGCACAACACAAGGUGAGGGCAGCCGAGCAAAAUGGUAGAAGGGCGCAUCAGGACCGACGAGCAACUGUUUUUGCUGGUGCAUCACGAGGAUAUUGUUUUUGUUUUCAUAUACAUCAGAACAUUUAUAAUCAGCAACAAAAUAUUUUUCCUGUCAUUUAUAUCCAGUGCAAAAUGUUUCCCUUGCUUCCAAUGACCCAUAAUGGUUCAUCUAUUCAUUCCAUCUACCGGCGUAGCACAUGCAAAUAUGUAUAUAGAAAGCUGUAACUUGAUAGCAAGCACACAUAGAACAAAAAACAAUUGGGCUGCAACCAUCGGAUCUCAAACUAGUCAACACAAAUCUCUGCAAUAUAGCAACGUGGACCCAUAGUUCUGAGCUUGAAGUCUUUUAACUAUUGAUUGUGAUCGAAAAUCCCCAUGUCUACUGAAACGAUGACAAAAAGAUCAAUGGUUGGAACUGUGCUAUCACCCGGCAUAAUCAAUAGUUCUUAUGGGUUUUAGUGAGACUAUUAAGAAGUAGCAUAUACAACCGAUAGCAUGACAAGGCAUACCCACAUGUGAUAGCCCAAAACAGCCAACACAAAGUGCUUCAUGCAACUGGUCGUUGAGUUCGCAAUGUCUCUCAAGCUCACAAGUUGGUAACAUUUCUGGCUCGCGUCAAAAUUAUGGUCAAAACAUGGUGACACAUUUUGGCCUUUCUUUCUUCCUUUUUCACUCUCUCACGCGAGACUCACUCUUGCCUAUGCUAAGCAAACUUUUAUACUCCUACCGUUGUUGGGUUGAGUGUGACUGUACAAUGUUCCAUAAAUAAAUGCAAUUGAGUUUUGAAGAGUAGGUAAAAGAUAAUAACUUGUAUUAAUUGUUUGUUUCAUUGGUGGCUAUAUGCCACAUAGCACAUGUUUGGUUAAUUACUUGUAUUGGCUUCCCAAGUAUAUAUGUUUUCUUUUUGUUAUUAUUAUAGAUCAGUUUGCACUUUGCACAUCCAAGAAAUACUUAGUUAUUCUGGCUGCUUGAAACCUCAUACACUAGAGUUUCCACUUAACUUACGACUUUUAAAAUGACACUUGACCUCAUACACUUGAAACCUCAUAUGCCUUGGAUAUCCCAUUGUUGUAAUUUGAAGUCUUUUAGGUACUGACCAUGAUAGACAAUGCUCUCAUUUGCCAACUCAUGUGACACCCUAUGCACCUUGCCACAUGCCCUGAGUGGUGAGUGAUGACGAGGUCAGGUCUAUUCUUUCUGGUUUUUAGUUAGACUACUAAGCAGUGUCGCAUCAUCGAUAGCAUGAAACGUCAUGCCCAAAGAUCGUAGUUCGAGACUCACUCUUACCAAUGCUAAGCCAACUUCAUACUUCUACCAUUGUUGGGUUGGGUGUGAGUGUAUAACGUUUCAUAAAUAAAUGCAAUUGAUUGUAGAAGCAAAGGUACAAAAAAUAUAUCAUGAACAUUGUUUCGUAC
rnacentral:lncRNA from 1 species